UACAGAGGGGGCGAGCGUUGUUCGGAAUCAUUGGGCGUAAAGCGUGCGCAGGCGGCUUUGCAAGACAGAUGUGAAAUCCCCGGGCUCAACCUGGGAACUGCAUUUGUGACUGCAUGGCUGGAGUGCGGCAGAGGGGGAUGGAAUUCCGCGUGUAGCAGUGAAAUGCGUAGAUAUGCGGAGGAACACCGAUGGCGAAGGCAAUCCCCUGGGCCGCACUGACGCUCAUGCACGAAAGCGUGGGGAGCAAACAGG
rnacentral:rRNA from 1 species